UGGAAUUGGUUUUUUUCUGAAUCGCCUAUUU
rnacentral:piRNA from 1 species